AAACCAUGAUGAGGAAACUCUAAGAGGAGGUCUUUGAAUCAUUCCAUACAUCGAGAGAAUGAUUCAUUGGAUUUCUGACGAAACUGGAGAAUAUCGUUCCUAAGCUU
rnacentral:snoRNA from 1 species